GACAGAGGUCCCGAGCGUUAGGCGGAAUCACUGGGCUUAAAGCGUGUGUAGGCGGAUUUGUAAGUACCUUGUGAAAUCCCACGGCUUAACCGUGGAACUGCUUGGUAUACUGCUUAUCUUGAGCCACUUAGGGGCAACCGGAACAAACGGUGGAGCGGUGAAAUGCGUAGAGAUGUGGAGGAACACCGAUGGCGAAGGCAGCCUCCUGGGCCAGCACUGACGCUCAUGCACGAAAGCGUGGGGAGCAAACAGG
rnacentral:rRNA from 1 species